UACGUAGGGGGCAAGCGUUGUCCGGAAUCAUUGGGCGUAAAGAGCGUGUAGGCGGCCUGGUAAGUCCGCUGUGAAAGUCCAGGGCUCAACCCUGGAAUGCCGGUGGAAACUGUCAGGCUCGAGUCCGGAAGAGGCGAGUGGAAUUCCUGGUGUAGCGGUGAAAUGCGCAGAUAUCAGGAAGAACACCAACGGCGAAGGCAGCUCGCUGGGACGGUACUGACGCUGAGACGCGAAAGCGUGGGGAGCGAACAGG
rnacentral:rRNA from 1 species